CAGUCGCCACGGGAUACGGAGGGUGCAAGCGUUAAUCGGAAUUACUGGGCGUAAAGCGCACGCAGGCGGUUUGUUAAGUCAGAUGUGAAGUCCCCGAGCUUAACUUGGGAACUGCAUUUGGAACUGGCAAGCUAGAGUCUUGUAGAGUGGGGUAGAAUUCCAGGUGUAGCGGUGAAAUGCGUAGAGAUCUGGAGGAAUACCGGUGGCGAAGGCGGCCCCCUGGACAAAGACUGACGCUCAGGUGCGAAAGCGUGGGGAGCAAACAGGAUUAGAUACCCCAGUAGUCCCUGUCUCUUAUACA
rnacentral:rRNA from 1 species